rnacentral:rRNA from 1 species
CGCUAGCUACAGGCUUAACACAUGCAAGUCGAGGGGCAUCAGGAAGAAAGCUUGCUUUCUUUGCUGGCGACCGGCGCACGGGUGAGUAACACGUAUCCAACCUGCCCUUUACUCGGGGAUAGCCUUUCGAAAGAAAGAUUAAUACCCGAUGGCAUAAUGAUUCCGCAUGGUUUCAUUAUUAAAGGAUUCCGGUAAAGGAUGGGGAUGCGUUCCAUUAGGUUGUUGGUGAGGUAACGGCUCACCAAGCCUUCGAUGGAUAGGGGUUCUGAGAGGAAGGUCCCCCACAUUGGAACUGAGACACGGUCCAAACUCCUACGGGAGGCAGCAGUGAGGAAUAUUGGUCAAUGGGCGCUAGCCUGAACCAGCCAAGUAGCGUGAAGGAUGAAGGCUCUAUGGGUCGUAAACUUCUUUUAUAUAAGAAUAAAGUGCAGUAUGUAUACUGUUUUGUAUGUAUUAUAUGAAUAAGGAUCGGCUAACUCCGUGCCAGCAGCCGCGGUAAUACGGAGGAUCCGAGCGUUAUCCGGAUUUAUUGGGUUUAAAGGGAGCGUAGGUGGACUGGUAAGUCAGUUGUGAAAGUUUGCGGCUCAACCGUAAAAUUGCAGUUGAUACUGUCAGUCUUGAGUACAGUAGAGGUGGGCGGAAUUCGUGGUGUAGCGGUGAAAUGCUUAGAUAUCACGAAGAACUCCGAUUGCGAAGGCAGCUCACUGGACUGCAACUGACACUGAUGCUCGAAAGUGUGGGUAUCAAACAGGAUUAGAUACCCUGGUAGUCCACACAGUAAACGAUGAAUACUCGCUGUUUGCGAUAUACAGUAAGCGGCCAAGCGAAAGCAUUAAGUAUUCCACCUGGGGAGUACGCCGGCAACGGUGAAACUCAAAGGAAUUGACGGGGGCCCGCACAAGCGGAGGAACAUGUGGUUUAAUUCGAUGAUACGCGAGGAACCUUACCCGGGCUUAAAUUGCAGUGGAAUGAUGUGGAAACAUGUCAGUGAGCAAUCACCGCUGUGAAGGUGCUGCAUGGUUGUCGUCAGCUCGUGCCGUGAGGUGUCGGCUUAAGUGCCAUAACGAGCGCAACCCUUAUCUUUAGUUACUAACAGGUUAUGCUGAGGACUCUAGAGAGACUGCCGUCGUAAGAUGUGAGGAAGGUGGGGAUGACGUCAAAUCAGCACGGCCCUUACGUCCGGGGCUACACACGUGUUACAAUGGGGGGUACAGAAGGCAGCUAGCGGGUGACCGUAUGCUAAUCCCAAAAGCCUCUCUCAGUUCGGAUCGAAGUCUGCAACCCGACUUCGUGAAGCUGGAUUCGCUAGUAAUCGCGCAUCAGCCACGGCGCGGUGAAUACGUUCCCGGGCCUUGUACACACCGCCCGUCAAGCCAUGGGAGCCGGGGGUACCUGAAGUACGUAACCGCAAGGAUCGUCCUAGGGUAAAACUGGUGACUGGGGCUA